ensembl:lncRNA
GGGGGGAUAUGGGGUGAUAUGGGGGGCUGUGAGAUAAUAUGGGGUGAUAUGGGGGGCUGUGGGGUGCUAUGGAGGGCCAUGGGGGGCUAUGGGCUGCACUGAGCUGCACUGAGCUGCAUUGAGCUGCAAUGGUGCUGAGCGGCGCUGAGUUGCAUUGAGCUGCUAUGGGCUGCAAUGGACUGCACUGAGCUGCAUUGAGCUGUGAUGGGCUACAAUGAGCUGCUAUGGGCUGCAAUGGGAUGCAUUGAGCUGCAGUGGGAUGCAUUGAGCUGCAAUGGGAUGCACUGAGCUGCACUGAGCUGCAAUGGGCUGCAAUGAGCUGCGCUGCACUGAGCUGCAAUGGACUGCACGAUGCUGAGCUGCAUUGAGCUGCAAUGAAUGACACUGAGCUGCUGUGGGCUGCACUGAGCUGCAUUGCACUGAGCUGCCGUGGGCUGCAAUGGAUGCACUGAGCUGCAUUGCAUCGCACUGAGCCGCAAUGGGCUGCAAAGGGCUGCAUUGAGCUGCAGGGGGGUGCAAUGGGCUGCAUUGCACUGAGCUGCAUUGAGCUGCAUCACACCGAGCUGCAAAGUGCUGGGCUGCAAAGGGGCUGCAAUGGGCUGCAGUGGGAUGCAAUGGGAUGCAGUGGGCUGCAUUGAGCUGCUUUGGGCUGCUAUGGGAUGCACUGAGCUGCACGGAGUUGCAUUGAGCUGCAGUGGGCUGCAAGGGGCUGCAAUGGGCUGCUAUGGGCUGCAGUGAGAUGCAAUGGGCUCCUAUGGGCUGCAGUGAGAUGCAAUGGGCUGCAAUGAGCUGCAAUGGGCUGCAGUGGAGUGCAAUGAGCUGCAAGGGGCUGCAGUGGGCUGCAAUGAGCUGCAAGGGGCUGCUAUGGGAUGCAAUGGGCUGCAAUGGGCUGCAUGGUGCUGAGCUGCACUGAGCUGCAUUGAGCUGCAAUGAACUGCACUGAGCUGCACUGCUGCACUGCACUGAGCUGCACUGCACUGAGCUGCACUGCUGCACUGCACUGAGCUGCACUGCACUGAGCUGCAUGGCUCUGAGCUGCACUGAGCUGCACUGCUGCACUGCACUGAGCUGCACGGCGCUGCAUAGAGCUGCACUGCACGGCACUGCACGGCACUGCAUGGCAUGGAGCCGCUGCCCCACACGUGGGGUGCAGUUGUGGGGUGCAGUUGUGGGGCUCACAGUGAUGGGGUGCAGUUAUGGGGUGCAGUUGUGGGGCUCCCAUCUAUGGGCUGCAAUUAUGGGGCGCAGUUGUGGGGCUCACAGUGAUGGGGUGCAGUUGUGGGGCUCCCAUCUAUGGGCUGCAGUUGUGGGGUGCAGCGAUGGGGCGCAGUUGUGGGGCUCACAGCUAUGGGGUGCAGUUAUGGGGUGCAGCAAUGGGGCGCAGUUGUGGGGCUCCCAUCUAUGAGCUGCAGUUGUGGGGUGCAGUUGUGGGGCUCACAGUUGUGGGGUGCAGUUGUGGGGCUCACAGCUAUGGGGCACAGUUAUGGGGUGCAGUUAUGUGGCUCACAGUGAGGGGGUGCAGUUAUGGGGCGCAGUUGUGGGGCUCCCACCUAUGGGCUGCGGUUGUGGGGUACAGCAAUGGGGCGCAGUUGUGGGGCUCACAGCUAUGGGGCGCAGUUGUGGGGCUCCCACCUAUGAGCUGCAGUUGUGGGGUGCAGUUAUGGGGUGCAGCUGUGGGGCUCCCACCUAUGGGUUGCAGUUGUGGGGCGCAGUUGUGGGGCUUACAGUGAUGAGCUGCAGUUGUGGGGCGCAAUUAUGGGGCGCAGUUGUGGGGCUCACAGUGAUGGGCUGCAGUUGUGGGGCGCAGCUGUGGGGCUCACAGCUAUGAGCUGCAGCUAUGGGGCGCAUUGGUGGGGCUCCCAUCUAUGAGCUGCAGUUGUGGGGUGCAGUUAUGGGGUGCAGCUGUGGGGCUCCCACCUAUGGGCUGCAGUUGUGGGGCGCAGUUAUGGGGCUCACAGUGAUGGGGAGCAGUUGUGGGGCUCACAGCUAUGAGCUGCAGUUGUGGGGUGCAGUUAUGGGGUGCAGCUGUGGGGCUCCCACCUAUGGGCUUGCAGUUGUGGGGCUCACAGUGAGGGGGUGCAGUUAUGGGGGCGCAGUUGUGGGGUUCACAUCUAUGAGCUGCAGUUUGUGGGGCGCAGUUGUGGGGUCACAGCUAUGGGGCGCAGUGAUGGGGUGCAGUUAUGGGGCGCAGUUGUGGGGCUCACAGCUAUGGGCUGCGGUUUUGGGGUACAGCAAUGGGGCGCAGGUUGUGGGGCUCACAGCUAUGGGGCGCAGUGAUGGGGUGCAGUUAUGGGGGCGCAGUUGUGGGGCUCCCAUCUAUGAGCUGCAGUUGUGGGGCUGCAGUUAUGGGGCGCAGCUGUGGGGCUCACAGCUAUGGGCUGCGGUUGUGGGGUGCAGUUGGGGGGUGCAGUUAUGGGCUCACAGUGACGGGGUGCAGUUAUGGGGCGCAGUUGUGGGGCUCACAGCUAUGGGGCGCAGUUGUGGGGCUCCCACCUAUGGCUGCAGUUGUGGGGCGCGGCUGUGGGCCCCCCCGUCUGCGUUGCCGCCCCAUAGGCGCUCCCGGCCGUCCCAAGGUCACAUUGUGCGCCCCCCCCCCCCCCAAAAAGACCCCCCCCCGAUACCGUCAAUGGGUCCAAACGGGGGCUCAGAGCGCUGCGGGUCGGGCGGGUGGAGACCCCGCGGGGCUGAAAG